rnacentral:tRNA from 1 species
UGCCAGAUCGUCUAACCGGAAGGACGUCGGAUUGUUACUCCGACUGUGGGGGUUCGAGUCCUCCUGUGGCAG